ACAAAUUUAUAAACCAUGCAACUAAGACGAUGAUUCUUUUCCACCAAACACAAGGACAUUGGAACCCUUUAUCUUAUCUUUGGAGCCUGAGCUGGGAUGGCCGGAACAGCAAUGAGUGUAAUAAUACGGACAGAACUAGCACAACCUGGAUCCUUACUACAAGACGACCAAAUAUACAAAGUAAUAGUUACUGCACACGCCCUAGUCAUGAUAUUCUUCAUGGUAAUGCCAAUUAUGAUUGGAGGAUUCGGAAACUGACUAAUACCGUUAAUGAUCGGAGCCCCUGACAUGGCCUUUCCCCGAAUGAACAAUAUGAGAUUCUGACUAAUUCCCCCAUCCUUUCUACUUUUAUUAGCUUCCGCAGGCGUGGAAAGAGGAGCCGGAACAGGAUGAACAAUCUACCCCCCAUUAUCUAGAGGAUUAGCCCACGCUGGAGGAUCAGUAGACUUAGCAAUAUUUUCCCUUCACCUAGCGGGAGCUUCCUCAAUACUUGCCUCAAUAAAAUUCAUAACAACUGUUAUAAAAAUGCGAACACCAGGAAUUUCAUUUGACCGACUUCCUUUGUUUGUAUGGUCAGUAUUCGUAACAGCUUUCCUGCUCCUUCUAUCCUUACCAGUACUUGCAGGUGCAAUAACAAUGCUUCUUACAGACCGAAAAGUUAAUACCACCUUUUUCGACCCCGCAGGAGGGGGAGACCCUAUCUUAUUUCAACACUUAUUCUGAUUCUUUGGCCACCCAGAAGUUUACAUUCUUAUUCUUCCUGGAUUUGGAAUGAUCUCUCACGUAAUCGCCCACUACGCAGGAAAGAGAGAGCCAUUUGGUUAUCUCGGAAUGGUCUACGCCAUAGUUUCUAUUGGAAUUCUAGGGUUUUUAGUUUGAGCCCACCACAUGUUUACAGUCGGGAUGGACGUUGACACCCGAGCAUACUUUACAGCAGCAACCAUGAUUAUAGCAGUACCAACUGGUAUAAAGGUAUUUAGCUGAAUGGCAACACUACAAGGAAGGAAUCUCCGAUGAGACACACCUCUACUAUGAGCACUUGGAUUCGUAUUCUUAUUUACCAUUGGUGGACUAACCGGAGUUAUCCUUGCAAAAUCAUCCAUUGACGUUAUUCUCCACGAUACUUACUAUGUAGUCGCCCACUUUCACUACGUAUUGUCAAUGGGAGCAGUUUUUGCCAUAUUUGCAGGAUUUACCCACUGAUUUCCCCUAUUCUCCGGAGUAGGCCUACACCCCCUAUGAGGAAAGAUUCACUUCACUCUGAUGUUUAUCGGUGUAAACCUUACCUUCUUCCCACAACAUUUCCUAGGACUAGCUGGAAUGCCACGACGAUACUCCGACUACCCCGAUGCCUACACACUCUGAAACACCGUAUCUUCUAUUGGUAGAACCAUAUCCCUUAUUGCAACGUUGGUAUUCUUAUUCAUCUUGUGAGAAGCAUUUACUUCCCAACGAACUGCCCUACAACCUGAAUUCUCUUCCUCUUCCCUUGAAUGACAAUACUCAUCUUUUCCCCCAUCUCACCACACAUUUGACGAAAUCCCUUCAACAGUCUACCUAAUUAAGUAAACGAGGAUUAGUUUAACAAAAACCCUUAAUUUCGACUUAAAAAAUUUCGGUAAACACCCCGAAAUCCUCCUAUUACAUCAACUUUCAUUAUUACCAUAACAAUAUUCUACUUAGGCCUUCUCGGAAUUCUAAUAAAACGACUACACUUCCUAUCAAUUCUAUUAUGCUUAGAACUCCUAUUAAUAUCCCUAUUCAUGAGACUAACCAUAUGAGCCAUAAAAGCCGGAACAACAUUUAUACUCACGAAUAAACUUAUUCUCCUAACCCUAUCAGCCUGUGAAGCCAGCGCAGGACUUUCUCUCAUGGUAGCCCUCUCCCGGACACACAACUCCGACCUUGUAUCAACCAUUAAAAUACUCCAACAGUAAAUGGCAAACUGAACCCAACUAGGACUGCAAGAUGCAUCUUCCCCACUAAUGGAAGAACUUAUAUACUUUCAUGAUUAUACUUUAAUUAUCCUCACCCUAAUAACAAUAUUAGUAUUUUACGGACUAGCUUCGCUACUAUUUUCCUCCAAAACCAACCGAUUCUUUUUAGAAGGUCAAGGACUAGAAACUAUCUGAACCAUUAUACCUGCCGUAAUACUAAUAUUUAUUGCCCUCCCCUCCCUACAGCUACUGUACUUAAUGGACGAAGUAAAAAACCCAUUCCUAACAAUAAAGGCCAUAGGACACCAAUGGUACUGAAGAUAUGAAUAUGCAGACUAUCGAGAGUUAGAAUUCGACUCCUACAUGAUCCCAACCUCUGAUCUCACCUCUGGUAAACCUCGACUCCUAGAAGUAGACAAUCGACUCACCCUGCCUGCCCAAACACCCAUCCGAGUAUUAGUCUCUUCCGCAGACGUCCUACACUCCUGGGCGAUCCCUUCUCUUGGCAUAAAGAUGGAUGCCGUCCCCGGACGCUUGAAUCAGGUAAAAUUCUUUAUCUCCCGAUGUGGGCUGUUCUAUGGCCAAUGUUCAGAAAUCUGCGGGGCCAAACACAGCUUCAUGCCCAUAGUAAUUGAAUCAGUAAAAUUCUCCACAUUCGAAACCUGAGUAUCUAAAUUUAUAACCGAAUCUUUGAUAAGCUAAUAAGGUAGCAUCAAACUCUUAAUUUGAAUAAAAGUGAAUUACCCACCCACUAUCAAAGAAAUGCCACAACUAAAACUUGCAUGAUGACUACUUAAAUUUUUCCUGGGCUGAACCUCCUUGCUAAUUAUAUUUAUAAUACUCUUGAAAACAAAACCUACUAACAAAAUUACAAAUACCAGAACCACUACUAACACUACCCCAAACCUAACAUGAACCUGAAACUAAAAAGAAUCUUUGGCCAGUUCUCCCCAGACCUUAUCUUAUUUAUCCCUAUGACCAUAACAGCCAUCUUCCUUAACCUUAGAUGGCUAUCCAUUUCCAAACCAUCUAAAUGACUCCCUUCCCGAGCAAACCUCCUCAUACUAUCCUUUUACCAAGAGGUACUUAAGAUCCUGUUUCAACAAACAAACCCUAACACAGCCCCUUGAAUAUCAACUUUUACCGCCAUAUUCAUACUCAUAUUUUCAGUAAAAGUCCUUGGUCUCCUUCCAUAUGCAUUUACCUCCACAAGCCACAUAUCACUAACAUACUCUGUUGGAAUUCCCCUUUGAAUGUCCGUAAAAAUACUUGGAUUUUACUUAGCAUUCAACAGCCGACUAGGCCACUUAGUUCCCCAAGGAACCCCCUCUUAUCUUAUACCAUUCAUGGUAAUUAUAGAAACAAUUAGCCUUUUUGCACAACCCAUAGCAUUAGGACUACGACUUGCAGCAAACCUAACCGCUGGACACUUACUCAUAUUCCUAUUAUCCACCGCAAUCUGAACUCUAUCCAACAGCCCUUCCAUAGCCGGAAUUACCUUACUAAUAUUUUUCUUUCUCUUCCUCUUAGAAAUAGGUGUAGCCUGUAUUCAAGCCUACGUAUUCACCGCCCUAGUCAACUUUUACCUAUCCCAAAACCUAUAAAACUUAUGACCCAUCAACACCCAUACCACCUGGUUGACCAAAGCCCCUGGCCUCUAACUGGGGCAAUAAGAGCUCUAAUGAUGACCUCUGGCCUUAUACUAUGAUUUCAUGCUAACAAAAAUCACCUCCUUCUAGCCGGAACGAUCCUCCUUCUUCUAACCAUUAUAAAUUGAUGACGAGACGUAAUCCGAGAAGCAACUUUUCAAGGAAGACACACCCUGCCCGUAAACACAGGACUACGGUACGGCAUGAUACUUUUUAUAACCUCCGAAGUGUGCUUCUUUUUUGCCUUCUUCUGAGCAUUUUUUCACAGAAGCCUAGCACCCACGAUUGAACUCGGAGUAUCCUGACCCCCAACUGGAAUUAGCCCCAUAAAUCCAUUUCUGGUCCCCCUACUAAACACAGCCGUCCUACUCUCCUCAGGGGUUACAGUCACCUGAGCCCACCACAGAAUACUAGCCCAAAAUCGAACCGAAGCAAUACAAGGAUUAUUUCUUACAGUAAUCCUUGGGGUCUACUUCACCGGCCUUCAAGCUUGAGAAUAUUAUGACUCCCCAUUUACUAUCGCAGACAGAGUCUACGGGUCCACAUUUUUUGUAGCCACAGGCUUCCACGGCCUGCACGUACUCAUAGGUACAACUUUCCUAUUUAUUUGCUUCCUCCGACUAAUAACAUUUCACUUCUCGAAUAAUCACCAUUUUGGAUUUGAAGCAGCCGCCUGGUAUUGACACUUCGUAGACGUAGUCUGAUUAUUCCUUUACAUUUGCAUUUACUGAUGAGGAUCAUAAGAGAAAAAAGGAUUUGAACCUUCCUCUUUUUAGUUUCAAGCUAAAUGCAUCCCUAUCUGCCAUUUCUCCACACCAAACUAUAUAUACCAAUAAAAUUUUCAAAUUCCUCACCCUCUUUGCGUCAAUCUCACUUAUAACCGCAUUAAUCACAUUCGCUGCACACUUCCUCCCAUCUCGAAAAACGGACUCAGAAAAGUCAUCUCCCUAUGAAUGCGGUUUCGACCCCCUAAAAUCCGCUCGAGUCCCCUUCUCAUUCCGAUUCUUCCUGGUGGCCAUUUUAUUUCUACUUUUUGAUCUAGAAAUAGCCCUACUAUUCCCCCUGCCUUUCAGAAUUUUCCUGCAUCCUGUACACACCCCUAUUUUACUCACCUGCCUAUUCCUCUUUAUACUAACCAUUGGAUUAAUUUUCGAAUGAGUACAAGGAGGCCUAGACUGAGCCGAAUAAUACCAA